rnacentral:lncRNA from 1 species
GCCAUUUUGCUUGUGGGCUGCCGCCCGCCGUUGCCUCUCCGCGGAGGCUCGAAGAUAGCAAACUGGAGGCGGUGAGGGGGACGGAAUCUCUGUCUUUCUGACAACAGAUGCAUUCAACAAUCCACCGAAGGUUUGAGGAAGUGUCGGUAUUCGGUGGGACUGGUUCUUUCCCCCUUUCCCCCAGUGGCCCUCAAGUCUGGAUAUAGCCCAGUCUGGCCUCCAGCGCUGGGUGAACCCGGUUGGGGUGUCACUCGACGCCCACUAGGGGCUGAGGAGGCUCCAGUGCGCAGGCUCCGGGCACCGGAUAAAAGCGGAGCUGGCGAGUCUAGUGCUGUCUCGAUGGAGGAGCAAGAAACGGAAGAGGUCGGGGGGAGAAGCAGCCGGAAAAAUGCAGCCACCGUCAACGCCGCCUCCCUGCCACCGUGCUUCGGGGUAAAAAGCUGCCGUUGCCGUCGGUGCAGUUGCCGUCGCUGCCUCCUAUACUUCUCUUGGCCUCGGGGAAGGAUUUCCCCACCGGUGGGACAAUGUGCGGGGAGGGGAGUGGGAAUUCCUUUAUAUGGCGGUGAUUAAACGAGGGAGGGACAGACAGUGAUCUCGAAGAAAAAAGGGGGAGACCAAAGAAUAAAAGAAGGGUUUCCCCACUAAAAUGACA